CAGAAGAGGCUGUACCGGCCACUUACAGCUUCCCGCACGUUAUUCUGGAUGCUCCUGGGAUCCCACAGCAAGCCCAGGUGCAGCCCCAGCCGCCUCCCCUGUGCAGCACGUCCUGGAGUCACGGGCAGGGCCCUCACCCACAGUGGGGUCGCCAUCGGUGAGCAGGAUGAUGAGUGAGACACUCCCUUCGGGCAGCCGCUCCUCCUGGUUGCUGCUGUCCAGCAACUGCACAGCCAUCAGCAUUGCAUCAUUGAUGUUGGUCCCUGAGGAACACGCACUCUCAAGUAUUUCAGAUGGUUUAUACUAAAAAGUUCAGACAUCAUAAACCUGACAACCAUCAAAAGAGGGAAGACUUCAAAAACAUGGAGUAAAAGGGAAGUAUAAUAACAAUGGCA
ensembl:lncRNA ITIH4-AS1 ITIH4 antisense RNA 1